AUACGGAGGGGGCUAGCGUUGUUCGGAAUUACUGGGCGUAAAGCGCACGUAGGCGGAUUAAAAAGUUAGAGGUGAAAUCCCAGGGCUUAACCCUGGAACUGCCUUUAAAACUAGUAGUCUGGAGUUCGAGAGAGGUGAGUGGAAUUCCAAGUGUAGAGGUGAAAUUCGUAGAUAUUUGGAGGAACACCAGUGGCGAAGGCGGCUCACUGGCUCGAUACUGACGCUGAGGUGCGAAAGCGUGGGGAGCAAACAGGAUUAGAAACCCCGGUAGUCC
rnacentral:rRNA from 1 species